rnacentral:rRNA from 1 species
GCUUGUCUCAAAGAUUAAGCCAUGCAUGUCUAAGUAUAAGCAACUAUACGGUGAAACUGCGAAUGGCUCAUUAAAUCAGUUAUCGUUUAUUUGAUAGUACCUUACUACAUGGAUAACCGUGGUAAUUCUAGAGCUAAUACAUGCUAAAAACCUCGACUUCGGAAGGGGUGUAUUUAUUAGAUAAAAAACCAAUGCCCUUCGGGGCUCCUUGGUGAAUCAUAAUAACUUAACGAAUCGCAUGGCCUUGCGCCGGCGAUGGUUCAUUCAAAUUUCUGCCCUAUCAACUUUCGAUGGUAGGAUAGUGGCCUACCAUGGUAUCAACGGGUAACGGGGAAUUAGGGUUCGACUCCGGAGAGGGAGCCUGAGAAACGGCUACCACAUCCAAGGAAGGCAGCAGGCGCGCAAAUUACCCAAUCCCGACACGGGGAGGUAGUGACAAUAAAUACUGACACAAAGGGCUUUUGGGUCUUGUAAUUGGAAUGAGUACA